rnacentral:rRNA from 1 species
CUGCAGUCGACGGACAUGUCUAGCUUGCUAGAUGAUGUCGAGUGGCGGACGGGUGAGUAAUGCUUGGGAACUUGCCUUUGCGAGGGGGAUAACAGUUGGAAACGACUGCUAAUACCGCAUAAUGUCUUCGGACCAAACGGGGCUUCGGCUCCGGCGCAAAGAGAGGCCCAAGUGAGAUUAGCUAGUUGGUGAGGUAAAGGCUCACCAAGGCAACGAUCUCUAGCUGUUCUGAGAGGAAGAUCAGCCACACUGGGACUGAGACACGGCCCAGACUCCUACGGGAGGCAGCAGUGGGGAAUAUUGCACAAUGGGGGAAACCCUGAUGCAGCCAUGCCGCGUGUGUGAAGAAGGCCUUCGGGUUGUAAAGCACUUUCAGUUGUGAGGAAAAGUUAGUAGUUAAUACCUGCUAGCCGUGACGUUAACAACAGAAGAAGCACCGGCUAACUCCGUGCCAGCAGCCGCGGUAAUACGGAGGGUGCGAGCGUUAAUCGGAAUUACUGGGCGUAAAGCGCACGCAGGCGGUUUGUUAAGCUAGAUGUGAAAGCCCCGGGCUCAACCUGGGACGGUCAUUUAGAACUGGCAGACUAGAGUCUUGGAGAGGGGAGUGGAAUUCCAGGUGUAGCGGUGAAAUGCGUAGAUAUCUGGAGGAACAUCAGUGGCGAAGGCGACUCCCUGGCCAAAGACUGACGCUCAUGUGCGAAAGUGUGGGUAGCGAACAGGAUUAGAUACCCUGGUAGUCCACACCGUAAACGCUGUCUACUAGCUGUUUGUGACUUUAAGUCGUGAGUAGCGAAGCUAACGCGAUAAGUAGACCGCCUGGGGAGUACGGCCGC